GCCAGCGGCGAUAGCACGUUGAAUGCACCAACUCCCAAUGGAUCACUUAGGUUAAGCAACGUUGCGCGUUGUUGGUAUCCGGAUGGGUGACUGGGCAAUCAAGUGCUGCUGACU
rfam:Asian citrus Psyllid, Diaphorina citri - Florida Strain, whole genome shotgun sequence.